rnacentral:rRNA from 1 species
ACGAGAGGACCGGGAUGGACACACCGCUGGUGUACCAGUUGUUCCGCCAGGAGCAUCGCUGGGUAGCUACGUGUGGUCGGGAUAAGUGCUGAAAGCAUCUAAGCAUGAAGCCCCCCUUGAGAUGAGAUUUCCCUUUGCUUUAAGCAAAUAAGAUCCCUCAGAGACGAUGAGGUUGAUAGGUCCGAGGUGGAAGCGUGGUGACACGUGGAGCUGACGGAUACUAAUGGAUCGAUGACUUAUCUAU